rnacentral:misc_RNA from 1 species
AACGCACAUUGCGCCCGCCAGCAUUCUGGCGGGCAUGCCUGUCCGAGCGUCAUUUCAACCCUCAAGCACUGCUUGGCGUUGGGGCGCUACGCGCUAAGCGUAGGCCCCUAAAAUCAGUGGCGGGCCCGCCGUGGCUCCGGGCGUAGUAGCAACACCUCGCCCCGGGACCGCGGCGCGCUCCGGCCGUUAAAACCCCCACCAUACUGAAGGUUGACCUCGGAUCAGGUAGGAAUACCCGCUGAACUUAA